rnacentral:rRNA from 1 species
GGGGCAGCAUGGUCUUAGCUUGCUAAGACUGAUGGCGACCGGCGCACGGGUGAGUAACACGUAUCCAACCUGCCGUCUACUCUUGGACAGCCUUCUGAAAGGAAGAUUAAUACAAGAUGGCAUCAUGAGUCCGCAUGUUCACAUGAUUAAAGGUAUUCCGGUAGACGAUGGGGAUGCGUUCCAUUAGAUAGUAGGCGGGGUAACGGCCCACCUAGUCUUCGAUGGAUAGGGGUUCUGAGAGGAAGGUCCCCACAUUGGAACUGAGACACGGUCCAAACUCCUACGGGAGGCAGCAGUGAGGAAUAUUGGUCAAUGGGCGAGAGCCUGAACCAGCCAAGUAGCGUGAAGGAUGACUGCCCUAUGGGUUGUAAACUUCUUUUAUAAAGGAAUAAAGUCGGGUAUGCAUACCCGUUUGCAUGUACUUUAUGAAUAAGGAUCGGCUAACUCCGUGCCAGCAGCCGCGGUAAUACGGAGGAUCCGAGCGUUAUCCGGAUUUAUUGGGUUUAAAGGGAGCGUAGAUGGAUGUUUAAGUCAGUUGUGAAAGUUUGCGGCUCAACCAUAAAAUUGCAGUUGAUACUGGAUAUCUUGAGUGCAGUUGAGGCAGGCGGAAUUCGUGGUGUAGCGGUGAAAUGCUUAGAUAUCACGAAGAACUCCGAUUGCGAAAGCAGCCUGCUAAGCUGCAACUGACAUUGAGGCUCGAAAGUGUGGGUAUCAAACAGG